rnacentral:lncRNA from 1 species
ACCACCAUUUUGAUCACCAAAAGCUCCUCCAUGCCAUCCCUAAAAGCAUAUCCUUCUAUGGUAACCAUAAAUCCAAGAAAAACCAAGAGAUAAAGAAGAAAAACAAAACAAAAGUGAAGAAGAGAAAAAGACAACAUACAACCAAAACUUCAAACCAUCAAAUCUCUUUCACUUGUAGGGUAGAUGAUUGACACCACCAUUACCAUUAGAAAGAAGGAGAAGUUUUGUAUCUGAUAGGGUAGUCCAAAUACUUCCCCAUCCUACUAAUAAGCUGAACAACACAUUACAAGGUAGGUUGUAAAAAAAAAUAGCACUAUAGAAAAAAAAAGACCAAAAUUUGAAUAACCAGAUCUCCCUCCCUCAUUAAAGGUGACUUACAUUGCCAUCACCAUUACAAAAAUAAGGGUAAGUAGGGCUUUAUGUAGAUUAGAUAAAAUUCGAGUCAUUGCCGCUGAUUUUUCUAGCAUUGUUCUAGUUAUUAUAUUAGCCUCUUUAGCCCAACUCCAGCCACCCUAAAAGGUCCAUUUCAAACCCUAAAUAUUUUACAAAUGAUUAUUUUGGUUUAUAAUUGAUUUGGAUGAAUAAUUGUGAUAAGAUACUCGAGUUUAAACUAUGUUGAGAUUAAUUGCAUAUGUUUAAAGACACUUAAUUUUUUUGAGUAUUUAAUUUUCCAACAUAGUGUGUUUUAUGGAUGAGUGAUCAUUAAAAAUAUAAUCAAUAUAUUUUAAAGUUUUUUGAUCUUUUUGUAUCUAGUCUGAAUCCUUCAAAGCUUGCAUAUUGCUCAUGUUUGAUGUUCUUAGCCAUUCUUCUGUGUUAUUUAUAUGCAAGUUUGCUUUUUUAAUAAAAGUAUAAUUUUCACUCAUCUAUACAUUUGCAUUGAAUUUUAUCAUUUUUUUUUAUAAAACUUAUCGAGAGUUCAGCCCAUACUAAAAGGCCCUUAUGAGCUAACAUUUAAAACCGCUUUAAAAAACUUUCCCUUUCUUAAAACCACAUAAAAAAAUAAAUGUUUUGUCAUUCACUCAUAGUUUUUGAGAUAAAUAGACUCAUAAUAAGCUAUUAUCUUAAAUGUUAAUGAAGAGUGAUAUCUUAGUCUCUUUUGUUUUUAAUCAUGUCUUCCUUUUAAAAUUUCAAGCCUUUAAGUCUAAUAUCCAUUGAUGACAUCUAAGUGUCAAAAACCUUAUUUAACAAAACAUUAUGAGUAAACCUCGGUACUGUAGGAUAAAUAAACCUAAACGAGUCAUUAUUCAUGGGCCAUUAUUGCAUAAACAAAAUGUUUAGCUACAACUCCUUCUACGAUCUGAGUUAGGUUUAAUGAGUCUAAUAUAGGCUUACCUAAUUAUUCAUCAAUAUGGCUUGAUAAACUAUUAAUAUUACAAUUUAUAAUCAAGAGUAAAUGGUUAAAAAUAUAUCAAUUUACUAAGCAAUUGGGGGUGACAAAUAUGACCUGAACUUUAGAAUGGAUAGGCUUGAACCACUCACCCACUAGGGUUUAACUUAUUGUAGUAGACCCAUUCACACCAUAUAGAUAGACCACUAGAAGAUUAGGCACAACAAACCAUUAGAAAUAGAAGACAAGUAGUAAUGCAACUUACUUUAAGUAAGAUGUUUUAGAGUGAUAAUAUCUUUGUUUUAGCAUAAUCAGUCCACUUACCAUUAAACUUUGUAAAUCAGUUAGGGUUUCUUAGUGAAUUUAAUACUAGGUGACAACUCCUUUAUAAUACACACCUUCCCCCCUUCACAACACAAAAAAGACCUUUCAUUUCAUAGAAAAAAAGGCAUGGUCGCCGUGAUGUCAGGGGCAACAACUUCUGAUCAAGAUGGUAAGUUUCUGAGUCAUUUUUUUUGUAUGUUAUGGAGGAUGUAUAAUUCAUCAUUAUAGCUCAAUAGUAUAGCACAUCCAUAUAUUAAUAGAAAAACAAAGUUGUUGCAUUGGACAUUUGGAAACUUAAUACUAAGCAUUUUUGGUGACAAGCCAAAAAAGUGAGAUUAUGACAUCAUACAAGCAAAAUUCACAUACAAUAGUAUUAAACAGAAUGCCACUAAUAAAUCACCAUUCAAAAUUAUAUAUUUAUAGUGUCUUAGGCAUGUGCUAGAUCUCGUACUAGCUCAGAAAGUUGUUGAAGUUAAAGUUGCUACUAAUAAAAUGGUUAUGAAUAUGCAAGCUAUAACGGGGAGAUAUGAGGCAUAAAUUGCUAAAAACUAAGACUAAGUACAAAGAGGCUACUAAUAGACACCACCUUAUUAUAAUUUUCAAUAAAGGAGAUAAGAUGAUGGCAUUUUCUGCUAGGGUUGUAUAACAAGUUGUAGUAGAAGAAAUAUGGUCCUUACACUAAAAAAAAAUAAAUGAAAAUACUUAUGUUAUUGAUUUACCGGUUGAUAUGGGUAUUUUCAAAACUUUAAAUGUUUUUGAUAUUAUUUAUUAUGAUGAUAAGCCUAUAUAUCCAGAAACUGGAGUUGACUUAAGGUCGAGUCUUUUGCAAGUAGAGAUGACUAAUAUGGAACGUGUUGUGAAUAUAUAUAUGGACCAGGUAGAUAAAGUGAAGCCAGGAAACAAGUUUGUGAAUGAGCCUAGACACAUCAAAUAUGAAGUAUGGAGAAAACAUUCAUAACUUUAGAUCCAACCAUUGGAUCGUGCUCAAAUUUUAUUAGAUAAUUCUAUCGGCCUGGUUCAUUAAGUGAACUACUUUAAUAAUCAAUAAUUAUACAAAUCUUCUCAGAUUAAGCCUAAAAGUUAUUGUUUUUCUUAUUUUUUAUCUUUCUAUUUUAAUUUUUUUCUAUUUAGCUUUGGAUUCUUCAGUUAGGUUAGUUUUAAACCACUAUUUAAAUAGUUGGUAUGCUAUUUUUUUAUCAAAUUAUUAUUACAAUUUUUUUAGAAAAUAUCAGAGUUUUUCUUUAUUUAUCUAUAGUUUCAAUCUCUAACUUUAGAGCUUGAGAACUUUAGUUUUUAUUCUUGCUAAACGCUACAUCAAAUCUAUUUAGUAAUUGUUAUCAUCAAAAUAUUAUAAAUUUUCUUAAGAAUAAAUUGUAAAAUAUUUAUAUAAAUAAUAAUUAUUAAAGAUAGAUUAUAUAUGUUGAUAACAACAUAAAUAACAUUAGAGUAUUAAGUUUAGAUUUAAAGGAUAUGUUUUUUUGGAAAAUUAUAUUUGUUAUACAAUUUCAUGGAAUCGAUGGUAUUUUACUAUACAUAAAGAUCAUUCUAAAUGAUUUUCAAGAAAAAACUUGUGUCAUUCUAGAUUUCCCUCAAGGUUCCUUUUUACUACUUUUGUAAGACUCUUUGUACUUUGUUUUGCAAGUUAUUCAUAUCUUGAGGCUCUAGGUUUUUAAAUUAUGCAUGCAUGUGGUUUUACCAAUAUUGUGUUAUGGUUUGUAGAUUAUUGGUUCAAUAAUAAAGAACAAAAACAAGAAGAUUGGAGAAAAGUCUUGGGUUAUUAGUAAUAAAAAAGAAGAACUUAAGAUAUGUUUUGAUGUAAAAGGAAAGUCAAAUGUGAUUCUGAGUAUGGUAGAUGAUCUCUGAACUACAAGCCUUUCAUCUCAACCACUUUGAUUUAAACUAUAAGAAAAUAUGGAACCUUGGAAAGGGUAUUUAGACAAAUAAAAAUUGGCAAAAAUCUUGUUGCUUUCAAUUUUAAUAGUGAAAGAGAUAUGAAUAUUGUGAUAGAGGGGUAACCGUGAUGUUUUGACUAGAAUAUUAUGGUUCUGAUAGAGGUUGAAGGCUUUGCAUAACCAUCCAAAUUAGAACUAUGCAUAAAUCCUUUUUGGGUAAGAAUUUAUGAUUUGCCUUUAAUAAUGAAGACCAUAACAGUGACUAUUCAGGUUGCCAACCAAAUAACCAUUAUUUUAUAGAUGGAUGAAGAAAAAGAACAAUAUGGGGCUUGAUAUUUGAAGGUUAAAAUUUUAUAGAACCUGAAAAAUCAAGUGAAACAAAGAAAAAAUAUUUGUAUUGGUUCGAAUCAUUGGUUUCAGUCCACUUUCACAUGAAAGGCUUUCUAAUUUUUACACCUAUAAUAGAAUGAGGUAUGUGAUUAGAUUGGGUAGGGAUAUCUAUAUAAAACAUCAAAUAAGACAGUAUUGAUAGAUGAAUGAUGAUUAGUGUUGUACCACAACUCUACCAUAGUUUGCCACUAUGACCAACUUCUAGGAAUUUUACCUAUAAAGCAACAAGGAUACUCCUUUUGGGUUUUAUUAGUAACUUUAGUUUUCCUAUAUGUUUGGGAGUGAUAGGAUGUAAAUAAAUGUAGUUGGACUCCACAAACCCUAAACAUCUCCUGCUAAAACUUAUAGGUGAAUGUAGGGUCACUGUCAGUGAAGAUAGUUUUAAGUAACCCUUGUGAGUUUAUAACAUUUUGGGAGAAGACUUGUGCUACCUUAAUUGUAGUGUAUGGAUGAAUUAGGGAUAUAAAGUGAGCAUGAUUAGAAAAUCUAUCCACUAAUAUUAGAAUAAUAAAGAAUUAUUAGAAUAUGACAGUUUCUUAAUGAAGUCUAUAAAAAUAGAGGACCAUGACCUACUAAUAUAAAUCCUUCCUUUGUGUAGUAAAAUAAAUGGUUUAAGGGUGCACUCCUACUAAUGUAAAUCCUUCUUUUAUAUAGUAAAAUCCCCAUCUUAACCUAGUAUCUAAGGGAUCCUUAGUAUCAUCCUCCUCACAAUUGGUUCGUUAAGCUUUCUUGGCAUUACUGACUAAAUUCUUUUUCCUAAUCAUGUAUCAUUUAACAAUAAAAUCAUACAUAAGAAGUUUAAAUAUCUAUAUUUGUUGAGAAUGGGUACCAAUGUUUUGUUCUAUAAGAUAUAUUAGGCUUUGUUGAUCUAUGUAACUGGUUGUCCUAGUAGGUGCGGUCUUCAUUUUUUAAUAGCCAACACAAUAACCAACAAUUCCUUCUCAUAGAUGGAUAAGACUAUUUCCUUUCCCAUAAAGACUAUAUUGUAAUAGGGAAUAAGUCUACCCUCUUGUAUUGAGCAUGCCUCAAUACCCUCAUUUGAAGCAUCACUCUUAAUUAAAAAUGUUUUGAUAAAAAUAGGUAAUGCUAAUACUGGUAGUUGGUUUACAACCUUUUAAAUUAAUAAAGGCUUUUUUAGCCAUAUUAUCCCACUUAAAAUCACUUUUAUCUAAAGCUAUGUUUGUUUCCCGAAAUUCACUUUCUGGGAAACCACUUUCUAAACUUUCCUGUGUUUGUUUGCCAUUAGAAAAGCUGGUCAACGGAAAACACUUUUCAGUCAAAGGAAAAUUUGACUUGGUUUCUAGGAAAGUGUUUUCCUGGAAAAUUUGGGCGGAAAACACUUUUCGGAAGUUGUGAAAAAUUUAGAAAUGUCAUAUUAUUUGCUGAUUAUAUCAAAUUUGGUCCUCAAACUUUUGAUUGCUAUAUAUAUUUUGUUUUGAAUAUUUAUUUUUCAAUUUCAUCUCUUAAAAUUUAAUUUUUAUAUUAACUUUGGUCCUCAUUUUUAUAAUUGUUAUUUGAUUUUUCCUUAUCAUUUUUUUAUUGAAAUUUUUUAUGUAUCAAAUUUGGUCCUCAUUCUUUUGAUUGUUACUUAUUUUAUUUGAAAUAAUUUAUGAAAUGUUAAUUAUUAUUAUUUUAAUUUCUUCAUCUUUCAUUGUUUUUUUAUUUUUUAGAUUUGAUCUCUAUUAUUUUGAUUAUUAUUUAUUUUAUUUGAGAUAAUUUAUGAAAUUAUAUUUUUUUUCAAUUUCAUUCUCAUUCAACUUUUUAAUUUGUAAGAUAUGUUCCUCAUUAUUUUAAUAAACUUGAGAAAAAUAAAACAUUAAAAAGUUAUUUUCCAGCUCAUUUUCCAUGAUAUAACCAAACACUGUAAAGUGUUUUUCAAUUUAUUUUUCAUUACACUACCAAACAUCGGAAAAUAAUUCACUUUCCCGGAAUUCACUUUCUAAAAAAAACUACUUUCCAGCAAACAAACGAGGCCUAAGUAUUCUAGUUAGUGGGCUUGAUAUAGUGCAUAUCCUUUGAUGAACCUCAUAUGACAAUUAGUAAAGCCUAAAAAACCUAUUAAGACUUUAAUGUUACUAGGUUUGGGCCAUCUAACUAUGACCUCCACUUUAUCUAGGUCAACCUUAGCCCCUUCUCCUGAAACCACAUGAUCCAAGUAUUCUACCUUUAUACAAGCAAAUAUGCAUUUAGAUUUUUUUUCUGUAAAGAGUUUAUGUUGGACAAGUAUAGCUAAAACAAUUUAUAAGUGUUUUAAAUGGUCCACUUCUUUCCUACUAUAGAUUAAUAUGUCAUAAAAAAAAAACUAGAAUAAAUUUUCUUAUGAAUGGUUUAAAUAUCUCAUUCAUGAGCCCUUGAAAGGUAGAUAGAGCAUUUGUUAGCCUAAAGGGUAUAAUUAGGAACUUAUAAUGCCCUUGUGAGUUUUGAAUGUAGUUUUCUAGACAUCUUCUGAUCUUAUUCUGAAUUGAUGGUAUCCCAAUCUCAAUUUCAAUUUAGAAAAGUACUACGACCCGUAUAAUUCAUCUAACAACUUUUUCACUACUAGAAUAGGAAAUUUUUCCUUUAUAGUUUCUUUUCUGAGUGCUUGAUAGUUUACACAUAUUCUCUAGGAUUCAUCUGACUUUCUGACUAGUAGAAUAAGGAAAGAGAAAGGUCUUUGACUGUGUUGAAUUGUUCCCAACUCUAGUAACUCCUUCACAAUCUUCUCGAUUUAUAUUUUUUAGUAAUUGGGGUAAUGAUAUGGUUUUAUAGUGAUGGGAUUGGAUGAUCAUGAUUCACAGCUAAUGGUAAUCUUUUAGGUUCCUAAAAAAACUAAUUCAAUUCUUUGAAGCAAUUCUUGAACCUAUGUUAGCUCCUCCUCACUAGGCUUAGGUUUAGUCUCCAUUUCUUUAAUUUAAAGGAUUAACCUCUUUACCUUUCUCUUCAAUUUUCUUAGAAACCUCGGCCCUUAAUCAAUUUCUGACUCUAGACUUCGAGUCUUUCCUUUCAUAAAGAAUGGUAUGAUAGUUAUGACACUUCUAUCCUCAUAAUAAGGUAUUUCUUAAACUUUCAGUGCCUACAUAACCUUGUCAUAAUCGAUGUACCUUUUUUCUAUGGUAGUAUUUGUGAACAUUUCUUGCUUAUGGCAUAUCAAUUAGGUCUUACUUUUUGUAAUUUCCUUUACUAAAAAGUCCUUUUUGGUUUAAAGGUAGCCAUUGUUAUAUUAAUUUAGAGAAUAGGUCAUCAUACUCCUUCAUUUUCUUUUUUAAAAAGCAAAUAUGACAAGCUUGUAAUGUGUAACAAAUUAGGCUUCUUAAGACAACACAACUAUUAUUAUGAUGUCUCAAUGAGUCAAGGCAUUUGCAAUACUUAUUUCUCUUAAUGAUCAAUGAUAGGGAUUGUAUGAUUACUAAAUAACUUGAUUUCCCUCCAUACAUUAGAUGGUCAAAAAUUUCUUCAGCAUUUUUUUUUAUAUCAAAAGAAUACUUUUUAUUCUCAUCAACCACUUUGGUAACUCUUAUAUCUUUGAUACUAAGUUUGUUAGCCACUUUAAGAAUUUUUUAAUGCAACCAUCUUAAAUGGUCUUCCCUUCUUGAGUUUCGCAAUAAAAAGUAGCUAAUGUUAUACUUCCUUAAUAUUUUGAUCAGAUUUUAAGUGAUUGAUUGUGUAUUUUCAACAUAAUUCAAAUAGCUAAAUGGCUAUGUUCCUCUAAAUGGAUUGUUUCUCCUUAUUUUGCUAAUAUCUUUUAAUAGUGGAUAUUAUCUUUUAUAAGGGUAUAAAUAUAUAAGUAAUUGAUUAUCAGCUCUUUCUCAUGUUCCACUAUAUUUGAUACGAUCUAAGAAAGGGUUGAAUAAGGAAAUUUGAAUUUUUGCGUAAUUAUGCCUAUUAUCUAGCUUUACAGCAACAAUCAUAAUUCUUAAUCCAACCAUUGGAUCAAGCUAUAAAUUUACUCAGAGUUUCCUAAAAUAUUGUUCUAUGUUGGGGUGAAAUUUCAGGUCAAUCGAAGUUUAGGAAAGCCUUGUGAUAUAGGUUAGAAUAAGUUGUACGACUUUUGUUAUUUAUUUUCUUUUGACUUGUGGACUUUCUAUUUGACAAUGAUCCUUUUUUUACAAGGAUGUGGUAGGUUGUUUUAGGAAUUUCCUAAUUCUAUACAAAGAUCUUUAAUAGGCUACAACAUAAUUUUCAAGUGUGACAAGGAUUCAUUAAUGUUCAAAAGUUCUUUUUUUACAAGGAUUUCUUAUUCAUCCUAAUUACACAAGGACAUAAAGGCUAGUGGUAUUUAAUGACAGGUUGGUUUGUUUAUUUUGGAGAGUUUCCUAAUCCUACAAGGAAGGUUAAAUGAAGGCAAUAAAAGUUUUCAUAUUUUGAGAGGAUUCUUUAAAGCUACAAUUAAUUAUCCUGGAAAAACAAAGAAACUAAAGGGGAGACAACUUCAACAAUUAAUUUCUUAGCUUAUUUUGGAUAUUUAAAGGUGGCAACAAAGACCAUGGAUUUAUAAAAUAAACUUGUGUUUUGCGUGAUGUAGCACGUUUUCUUUGUUGAGAUAAAGAAUAAUAUCAAGGUAUAACUGAUCUUAGAACGUCUUCCAUAUACUUUUUGUUUGUGAUUUGGUAUUCGUUGAGUGAGGGUUUCUUAUUCCAAUAGUACUGGUGCCUUGAGACAUGUUUCUGUUGUGUUACAUUCCUAUCUAACCUGAUUUCUUGGUUUUCCAGGAGUUGUAUCAUCUUCAUUGUGAAUUGCUUGACCAUGUGAUUAAGAGGUUUACAUCAUUAUUCUAAAACAAGUUUAAUAUACUCUUGCUUUUCUAUAAUUGUAGUGCAUUUAACUUUUAAAGUCCUAAAUAGAAUGACAUAAACCUUAUACAUAUUCUCCUAGAUCUUAUACCAUCAUAGUUAAGUCAGCCAAUAUCACAUCUAGUGUUUUUUCUAUAAAAAUGCUUAUCGAAAUGAGUCUUUAUAUCUUCAUAACUAUUGAUAGAGUUAGAAGGUAAUGUAGAGGACUAGUGAAAGGUUGUUCUAGCUAGUGAUGAACAAAAUAGUCUUAGCUUUACAAAGGGAUUUGUUGCACCAUUGCCAAAUUGAUUAAUGAAUUUAGUAAAGUGCUUUCUUAUAAAUUAGUUUUAUUCACCAUACAAUUUUUUAAAAUCAACUAUUUUAUAUCUUUAUUAUUUAGGUGCAACCUAUCCACCUUCUCUAGAUAUGAACGAUUAUAAAUAGGCUUAUUUAUUCAUCCAAUUUCUAAAACCAUUUUUCUUUAGUGUUGAGCAAACUUAACUUUAUCAAUUACCCUCUUUACGGGUUAAUCAACACCAUGCACUUAGGGUGAUAGAGGAUUAGGGUUUCUAAAUUGGUCAUCAAUAUUCUCAUCUAUAGGUUAUUUUUGUUGUAGAUAAGAUUGUUGGACCAUAUAAUUGUCUUGGUAUUUCCUAUAAACUUAUAGAGAAGCUAGGAUAUUAGAAGCAAUUGUAGCCAAGUUAGUAUGCACUUGUAGUAGUGUAUGGUAUGUGAGCAUGUUAUAUCUUUUAUAUAGUUAAAAAGCUUUCGAUGCUCUAAUAUAGGUGCUUGUGACUGUAGAAAAUCUUUAGCUUUUCCCCUUAGAGGUUUAGAUAAGCAGUGUUCUAAACCUGCUCUAUUUAAACUCAUUCUGAAUUUGAUUGAGUUGAUCAAAUAUGGUUUGUAUAGUCUUAUUCGCUACCAUAAUUUUAUUAUGGUAAGUUGUUUUCUCAAGUUCUUCAUCUCCAUUUAGAUAGUCCUCAUAUUAGCAUAAGUUAAAUUUACUAGUUAAGAGAAAAAUGUUCAUUUAGGAGGAACCAGUGUAAGCUGACUAGAACUUAUCAAAAUAGGUUGUGACCAUCUAAUAACAUCAUUGUUUCCCUAGAAAGGACAUGUUUGGGAAUAAUAUAAAGGCAUAAAAGCGCCAAUAUGCCCUAAUGGUUAAUACUAAUAAUGAUGUAAAAAAAGUGGGAACAUAGAGGGCUGCAUGAGGAAAUUAGGACUCUGCCUCUAUGCAUUUUUCUAUGGUGCAAAGAAUUAGACGAUGAACAAUCAUCUCAUAAAACAUCUAAUAUUGGUUGUUUCACAUGAAUUUAUGGUGAUGAUGGAUUAUUAGGCUUGGAUUAACAUCUAUCUAUUACAUUUAUUAAAUGAUCAUUAGGUAUUGUGACAACAAUUUUGCUUGUAUUCUUUUUUGGUAGCAUGAUUGCUAAUCAAUGAGAUAAAUGGUAAAUCUAGUCCUAUUGAGCGUGUCAAUCUAGUCCCCCAUGAUUGAUAAUUGUGUGAUUAAUCGCUGACUAGUUUGUUUACCAAUUAUUAAUUCUGUAAUUAAUUAUGCUAUUUAUUCUUUGUUUUUUCUUUCUAAUUAAGGAGAAAGUAUAGUUAUGAAUUUAUUCCUGAAUGGAGACAAAUAGCAGCCUUUCAAAACCAAACAGAGUGUGGGAGUAUCAAGAUUUUAGACCUUAAGAAAAAUCACCAUCAUUCCUAGUAAUAUAAGUAUUGAAAGAAAUUGCAUAGGUAGGGUUGGCUAUCAUUUCCAAUAACUAGGUGAACUAUUUAUAUUGGUACAAAUUUUGAGUUUUACGUAAAUAUCUAAUUCUAAUCUCAUACAUACUGUUUAUAUAUAUAUAUAAAAAAGUGUGACACUAUGUUGUCAUACCUGAACAUAAAUUGAACUUGCCAAAAUAAAAUGAAAAAAAUAUAAAAAAUUAGAGUUGUCACCUAGUAAGUAAAAGACACCAGGGACUCUAAUUCAAAGCACUAGUCUUAUAGAUUUGGAUAGAAGGGUUAGUUAUACCUAAUAGAAGAUCGACGUCACCCUUACUACAUUCAUUUAAAUGAAAUAUUACUUUUACUUAGUUUUUCUCACAAAUCUAUUUUUUAGUUGCUAUCAAUUUCCUAAUUGUUUUAAGCUCGUUUUCUAUUUAUAUUUUGAAUUAUUUCUAAUUAGUUAAAAAAAAUCAAUGCUAGUCCCUUAAAAAAAGAUUUGUCAAUUUGAUUGUUCAUGAAAAUUUUGACAUCAAUUAUUUUUAAAAAAACUUUGGUUUUCAAGAAAAUUCGAUAUCGGUCCUUAAAAAAGGAACUUAAAAAAAAAGUCAUUCGUGAAAAAUUCAACAUCGAUCCCUUAAAUUGACGACAUGUAAUUCACAAAAAUUUAUAUGGAAGGAAACUAUCCCUCAUGCAACUAAGAAAAAUCCAGACUGUGUACGUAUGUAUUUUAUAUGGAAGGAAGAUGCAAACCUAAGACAUGAGCUUGCUAAAAACAAAUGGAAACUUAACCUCUAAAAACUGUUUUUAUUUUUUCAUGCAAAGGGAACUUUAGUGGAAUUAAAUGGAUCCUUGGAGAAAAGUAACAGGUUUUAAGAAUGACAAUAACAUGGUAAGCUGGAAGUUGCAUGGCUUACACAAAAAAAAAGGUUUUGAUAUUGCUUUUUGUAAAGAUAAUGGACAUGGUAUACAGAAACUUUAUCUCCCUAUUUAUUUCAAACAAAAGGCUUGGAAGACUUGAAAACUGGUUUCAUAUGCCGACUCUUUUUUAAUUUGUGUUAGUUUAAACCUGUCAUCAUGAUCUUGAAACAUUGCAAGACAGAUUCAGUGAAAGACACAAAAGUACCCUCUCAUGCAGUAAUUAAAUUUCUCUAGAUUUGCAGGAUAAGAAGCUUACGUGCACAGAAAACAAAAAAGAAAAAUCCAUAGCUGGAGUGUUUUUCUGUUCACAAAUCUGUUUUCUUUCAGCAUCACAGUACAUUUCCCCUCACAGUGUUUUCUUUUUGCUUAGUUUCUUAGAUAGUACUGAAUUGCAGGGUUUCAAAAACAAGAUUUCGAGUUGCAGCAACACGUUAUCGACUGGAUUAUGCUCUCAUGACUAAAAAAACCAACGAUGAUGACUUCUGUAGACCCUUAACUUUUUUUAUUGGGUUUAUCUUUUCUUAAGAUCAACGGAUGGGUAUUGCUUAACUGUUGAUGAUGUAAUUCUUGAGUUGAACUAACGUAAUUCAAUGGUUUAUUCCGUCUUCAUCAAAGUAUUUAAAGUGGGAUCAAGUUAAAGCGGCUGCAGAUGAAACAUGGCUGGCUCUGUCAAUGAUGACAUGCUGGGAAGGCUUGAAAUCGUGGGUUUCUGGGCUUAAACCAAUGUCCAGAUUCUGUCAGAAGAUUACCAUCUGCCGUUUCUUGGGCUCAAUUAGACCUACAGCCCAUUUGUUUUUAUACUCGUUUUUCUAACUCAUCCUUUAUUUUAGUUUCCUCUACCUGAAAUUUUGACCUGAAUGUUGCUCCUGGAUCCUGGGGAAUUUCAAUUAAAGCUCCCUGGAGGCUGCUGUAUAAUAUUACUUACCUUUCUUAUUACAAAUAUGUGGGCGAGUAGAUAGAUUUUUUCUGGUUCUUUUGGAUAUGCCAAUGCAUGUUGGACUACAUAAUGAGAGCAAUCCGUUCUGUAAAAUUGCCUCGAAACUUCAUUGAAAGAAGAUUACACACACUGGCGCUGUAUUAAGUCAAGAGAGUGCGUAAAUAGAUUGGUUCAUAUCCGAUGUAUUUUAAAGAAAUACCCUUAUGGGAUGUUUUUGAGAUUUUUCUUGGAUAUAUGUUAUAGGAUGAUUAGUUCAUUAGCUAUGGCCUAUAAGUGUGUUGUAUUAUUGUUAAAGCCCUGCCUCAUGAUCGGCAGCGGCACCAAUCUUUUGUAGAGUAAGCUUUUGGACACUGAUCACAUAAUAAAGUUCAUGUCAAUGACGAUCAUUCACAGGAAAAGGUUCACUAAACUCUCAUCAUGAUAUUGUAGCAAAAAACGAGAUAAAACACGUAAUUGUACCUGGUUUGUAGAGUUAACAAUCCUUGUUCGUUGAUGAGACACUUGAGCGCAUUAGAAUUAUAGGACACACUGUGUAUCUGCCUUGAAGGUCUUGCUAAUCCUCCUGCCUUUUGAUAACACGUCUUUUUUUUGCUUCUUUUCUACUCUUUCUUGUUUUCUCUCCUUUAGAAUUUUCCUCCACACUCUGUCUGUCUCUUCAUGUCUCCUCCUGUGUGUCUCACCGUAUAAGUCUGCAGGGAUGGAAGGGUAUUUAUAGGUUAACCUUCAGGGGUUGUAGAGGCGGUGAUUUGGAGUAAAGAGGGCUAAAAAUCUGGGAAUUAAGGCCGAUCGUUGGCAUGCAUUUGGAACAAAUUUGGGGAUCGGUUCAAGGAAUCAAUAUUCAUGGUUCUUCGAAUUUUGAUUGGAACUGGGGUGUUAAUGAAAAGAAUCGAAGAUAUUUUGGGCCAUUCGAAGAUCAAUUAUGGCUGGGAAUUGAAGGAGAAGAUAGCGACUCGGGCUAAUAUAACGAGAAACUUUUUUCCAGAAUUGAAGAGCAAUAGAACGACAUGUCGU